rnacentral:rRNA from 1 species
CAAGUCGAGCGGUAACAUUUCUAGCUUGCUAGAAGAUGACGAGCGGCGGACGGGUGAGUAAUGCUUGGGAAUAUGCCUUAGGGUGGGGGACAACAGUUGGAAACGACUGCUAAUACCGCAUAACGUCUACGGACCAAAGGGGGCUUCGGCUCUCGCCCUUAGAUUAGCCCAAGUGGGAUUAGCUAGUUGGUGAGGUAAUGGCUCACCAAGGCGACGAUCCCUAGCUGGUUUGAGAGGAUGAUCAGCCACACUGGAACUGAGACACGGUCCAGACUCCUACGGGAGGCAGCAGUGGGGAAUAUUGCACAAUGGGCGCAAGCCUGAUGCAGCCAUGCCGCGUGUGUGAAGAAGGCCUUAGGGUUGUAAAGCACUUUCAGUAAGGAGGAAAGGUUAGUAGUUAAUACCUGCUAGCUGUGACGUUACUUACAGAAGAAGCACCGGCUAACUCCGUGCCAGCAGCCGCGGUAAUACGGAGGGUGCGAGCGUUAAUCGAAAUUACUGGGCGUAAAAGCGUACGCAGGCGGUUUGUUAAGCGAGAUGUGAAAGCCCCGGGCUCAACCCUGGGGAACUGCAUUUCGAACUGGCAAACUAGAGUUAUGAUAGAGGGUGGGUAGAAUU